rnacentral:rRNA from 1 species
UUUGGCCUACGGGGGGCAGCAGUGAGGAAUAUUGGUCAAUGGGCGGAAGCCUGAACCAGCCAAGUCGCGUGAGGGAAUAAGGCCCUACGGGUCGUAAACCUCUUUUGCCGGGGAGCAAGGGCGGGGACGUGUCCCGGCCCGGAGAGUACCCGGAGAAAAAGCAUCGGCUAACUCCGUGCCAGCAGCCGCGGUAAUACGGAGGAUGCGAGCGUUAUCCGGAUUUAUUGGGUUUAAAGGGUGCGUAGGCGGGCUUUUAAGUCAGGGGUGAAAAUUCGGGGCCCAACCACGUCCGGCCGUUUAA